GACGAACGCUGGCGGCGGGCCUAACACAUGCAAGUCGAGCGGAAAGGCCCUGCUUGUGCGGGGAGCUCGAGUGGCGAACGGGUGAGUUACACGUGAGUCACCUGCCCUUGAGUUGGGGAUAACUUCAGGAAACUGGUACUACUACCGACUAGGAGCUCCUGCUGCAUGGUGGGGGUUGGAACGUUUGGGCGGGUGGGGAUGGAGUCCCGGUUUAUCAGUUGGUUGGUGGGGUAGCGACAUAGCAAGGCUUUGAAGGGUAGCCGGCCUGGAAGGGUGACCGGCACAGGAGUACUGCGAUACGGGCCAGAGUCCUACGGGAGGCAGCAGAGGGGAAGAUUGACCAAUGAGCCGAAGCCUGAUGCAGCAACGCCGCGUUCGGGAUGCCGGCCUUCUUGUUGUAAAGCGCAUUCGGCUGUUACGAUGCGUGAGUGACGUUACUGGGUAAAGAAGCACCGGCUAACUACGUG
rnacentral:rRNA from 1 species